UACGUAGGGUGCGAGCGUUAAUCGGAAUUACUGGGCGUAAAGCGUGCGCAGGCGGUGAGCUGUGUCCGAUGUGAAAGCCCCGGGCUUAACCUGGGAAUGGCGAUGGAAACUGACGAGCUUGAGUGUGGCAGAGGGGGGUGGAAUUCCGCGUGUAGCAGUGAAAUGCGUAGAGAUGCGGAGGAACACCGAUGGCGAAGGCAGCCCCCUGGGCUAGCACUGACGCUCAGGCACGAAAGCGUGGGGAGCAAACAGG
rnacentral:rRNA from 1 species